rnacentral:rRNA from 1 species
AGUGAACGCUGGCGGCGUGCCUAAUACAUGCAAGUCGAACGGAGUGGCGCACGGGUGAGUAAUAUAUAGCUAAUCUGCCCCUUGCUGGAGGACAACAGUUAGAAAUGUCUGCUAAUACUCCAUAGCAAGGGAUGAGACUAUAUCGUAUCAGCUAGUCGGUGGGGUAACGGCCUACCGAGGCUAUGACGCGUAACUGGUCUGAGAGGAUGAUCAGUGACAUUGGAACUGGGACACGGUCCAAACUCCUACGGGAGGAAGCAGGAAGGAAUAUUGCGCAAUGGGGGAAACGCUGACGGAGAAACGACGCGUGGAGGAUGACACUUUUCAGAGCGUAAACUCCUUUUGUAAGGGAAGCGGUACCUAACGAAUAAGCACCGGAUAACUCCGUGCCAGCAGCCGCGGUAAUAC